rnacentral:rRNA from 1 species
AUUGAACGCUGGCGGCAGGCCUAACACAUGCAAGUCGAACGAGUGGCGGACGGGUGAGUAAUGUCUGGGAAACUGCCUGAUGGAGGGGGAUCACUACUGGAAACGGUAGCUAAUACCGCAUACCAUCGCUUGUGCCCAGAUGGGAUUAGCUAGUAGGUGGGGUAAAGGCUCACAUAGGCGACGAUCCCUAGCUGGUCUGAGAGGAUGACCAGCCAAACUGGAACGGAGAAACGGUCCAGACUCCUACGGGAGGCAGCAGUGGGGAAUAUUGCACAAUGGGCGCAAGCCUGAUGCAGCAAUGCCGCGUGUGUGAAGAAGGCCUUCGGGUUGUAAAGUACUUUCAGCGGGGAGGCGUUACCCGCAGAAGAAGCACCGGCUAACUCCGUGCCAGCAGCCGCGGUAAUUC